rnacentral:tRNA from 1 species
GUAAUAUUAGUAUAAUUUGAUUAUGUUUAAUUUUCUAUUAAAAGAUUUUAUAUUAUU